GAUGAACGCUGGCGGCGUGCCUAACACAUGCAAGUCGAGCGAACAGACUAGGACCUUGCUCCUCGGACGUUAGCGGCGGAAGGGUGAGUAACACAUCGCUAACCCACCUAUAAGACUACGAUAACUUCCAGAAGCCGAAGCUAAAACCGCAUAAUAUAUUCAACGGCUGGGUUCAAUAGUGAAAGACGGUGUUGCUGUCCCUUAUAGAUGGACCCGCGCCGCUUUAGCUGGUUGGUAAGGUAUCGGCUUUCAAUGGCGAAGAUGAGUAGCCGACCGGAAAUGGUGAUCGGGCACACUGGAAGUGAGCGGCCGCCCAGACUCCUAUGGGAGGCUGCGGCCGGGAAUCGGGCGUCGAGGGCGAAAGCUUGCAGGAGGAGCGCAGCGUGCAUGAGGAAGGUCCUCGGAUGGUAAAACUCUCUUAGCAGGGAAGAACAUGUGUGUCAGUGACUAUGCACGUCCUGACGGUACCUAGGCAGAAAGCCACGGCUAACUACGUG
rnacentral:rRNA from 1 species